UCGGACAGGGACGCUUUGACCUGCAGGCCCGCUCUACCUGGAAUAAUCACACUUCUCAGGCUCACAUCCUUACUGAUGGAUUCAGCAAAGGGCUCGAUAGAGUGGGCAGCCCUGCCAGACCCUGGAUCUGAUGGUGCAGACCCUGAACCACAAGAUUAUCUUGGAGGCCUCCGAGGCAGAGAGUGGGGCUUGCUGCCUCGACACCUCCUGGGGCUCCUCGGCGACAUUGACCCGAUUGUCUGUGCAUAGGGCGAUGAAACGGCUGUCCCAGAGCCGUGACCUCCGCAACUCCUGAGACCACACGAGCACAUUCGCCCAGGAAUACACACGGACUGAGACGAAAGAACUAUCGGGAUAACGAUACUCAGCGUGGUCCUGGAAAAGACAGCAUGUACAAACAGAAAACAGCUGUAAAUAGUGUCAAGAGGUGAAAUCAAGUGAUAAAGCUAAA